ensembl:lncRNA
CUAGCCUUGCCUUUACUAUGAAAUAAGUAAGUAAGACUUGAGCUCAAAGUCAGUGGUUUCUGCUUGGCAAACCCUGCCUUGGUUACACCCUCAGUGUGUCAUGAUGGAGUUAUCAGUACUGCACGCUGUGCAGCUGAACUGCUGCUGCCCUGGCCUAACAACGCCAUGGGAGGGUUCAGCAGCAAGGCUGGGUUUUUCACUGUGAAAACAAAUAGCCUUGGUUUGGGGCAGUUCUGAGCUUGGAUUGCUUGCAUCACCUGAUCUGAGGGUACUCGUUGUGGUUCGUGCCCUCAAACUGCCCUCCCACCCCACUCCUGGAAGUCCUCAUGAACACCAGAGGGGAACCUCAGCAAUCAGUUGAUGUAUAUAUUGAAGUGAUCUGGAAUCAAUGCUGAUUUAUCUUAACUGAUUUGGAAAUAACAUCACCUUAACCCAUAAGCACGCCCGCCCCAGGUUCUGCGGGAACAACUUCAAUUGGUUGCGUCUUAGUCAAGCUAAUUUCUGCUCAUCUCAUCAGGGUUACUGCAUGGCCAAGAUCCACACUGCGCAACACCACGUGGACUUCAUACAAAUGUAUGAACCUUCCCCACAGCGUUUGCAGAGAUGAGAGCUGGCACCUUGGGCAGACUGGUGUCUGGGAUGCUGGAAUGAGAAAGGAACUGAGCAAGCAGACGCGCAGUUGACUCAGGAGGUGCCAUUGCUGGGGCUUCAAAAUCGCUGUGCAAACAAAGCCUGCUCCUCAGCCAGCUGCUUCCCAGACUCUACUGGCACAUGGGGCCACUCCAACCCACAUCUCUACUCAGCUCCAGGAUGUUUCUGUCUGCCUGACAUUGUCCAAGUCCUGCUCAAUGGAAGCGCUGGUGCUCACCCCACCAACCACCUCGUCUGCUGUUGUCUGCACAUUUGCAGAGGGUGCUUCUGCCUCUUGUGGGAUCCACCACUAGACAUCUCCUGGCACCAUUUCCUGCACUUUCACACACUCUUCUCCCUGGCAAAGCUCUUUUAAGCGGUCCCUGCUGCAGGCUUCCCUCCCUUUCCCUCCCCACUUGUGCUGACACAGCUGUUUGGGGGCAGGCUGGCAAACCAGAUUGGUGGGCGGAUGUGGGAUACACGCGGCCCUCACAGAUAUUUUUGUCCCAGCUGCAGAUACUGGUUUUUUGUUGGUUUUUUUUUUUUUUUUUUUUUUUUGCUAUGAAGCAGAAUGCCUCUGACAGUAAAGCUGUAAGCACGGCCAGGCUGCCGUCUGCCUUAGGUGAAGGCGAUUCACACCCCUGCAUGGCAUCGGGCAGUGACAUCCCCUUGCCUUGCCAGCACAGCUCCUGCAUCUGCUAGGAUGGAGAGAGUGCCAGGGCUGGUAACUGCAGCCUGCAGCUCACAAUGAGAAAGCCAACGCCAAUAAGAUGUAUAAUGAGCGUUUAAAAAGCACUUAUUUUGUCAUCCAAUCAUCUAUCAUCCUCAUUGUGUAAAUAUUUCUGUUUCCACAACAAAAUGACUUGAAGAGAAAUGUUCACCAGGAAGAACAAAUUUUUGAUCCCGCUGAUAAAAUCAGGACAGUCAAAAUGAUGGAUGUGACAUUGAUGAAAGCUUGCAAACAAGGCUUAAUUUCUGUGGCAGAGAAAAACCCAACCACCACCUCACGGGUUCAUCAGUGCUUGGUCGUGCCUGGAAAUUCAGUGUCAGCUGGAAAUUUGAUGGUGACCUCUGAUAAGUGAGAAAAUGGCGAGGGUUUUAAUGAAUGACUUGAAUAAGAAAAUAAAUAAGUCACCCUGUGAGGUAUUAUUUCUGAUAUUUGCUUUGCUAUUAAGUUCAGUUACUGCCGUUUUCAUUGUGU